rnacentral:lncRNA from 1 species
UUCAGGUGCGAGCUCCCGGGAAUUCUCUCCUCCUGCCGAGAUUGGCUUCAGGACAAGGGCAUGUGUCCAUUCUUCUGCCUCUCCUUCCCUGGGGAAGGUCGCUUGAGCAUCACGGAAUACCACUCCAGUCUGGGUCAAGGAGGUUUGCGCGGGCUGCUCAGGCCUCCUCGGCUCCGGGGUGCCUCACAUCAUGGAACGGAGUCGGCCAAUGCCGUGGUGGGCUUCAGCCAUAUUGAAUCCUACAUAACCUUGGAGGCUGAGACGCUCGACAACCAUAAAAUAAUCAGCACGGCCAAUAUCAGAAGAUUAACAGAGUUCUGUGCCUCUUGGAGUCCUGCAAACAUACAUGUAUGAACUAUGGAGAGACACUUUUCUCACGGAACCCGGAAUUCUCCUAGGUGUUCUACAGUUUGAAAAUAGCCCAAUCAUGAUGUUGUCACAAGGCUUAUUUUUAAGUAAUGAUUUUAAUUAAACCCUCUAAAAAGGAAGCAAUUCUGUACCUCUUAUAUGGUCUGUACAAUGAUGAUUACACAAGUGCAGUUUUCCAUUUUCCUCUGGUGUCAUGGGGGCAAGGAUAACGAUUUCCAUCUCAUCACAGGACGGAGAGCCUAUACUUCACUCUGCACAAGACUCCAGUGAAAUCAGAGGGAGGAUUUUGCACAAUAAAAUUACAGUAAAAUAACUGAAGAAAAAACAGCUUCCCCAGGAGGGGUUCAUAGCUGAGAGCGUCAUGCAGGAUACCAGUGAAGAUUUUUACAUGGCGACAAAUCAAGAUUUUUUUCCCCAGCUCACUGGGGCAGGCUGG